GAGGGUAUAGCUCAAGUGGUAAAGUGCAUGCUUACCAUGCACAAGGUCCUGAAUUCAAUCCCCAGUACCCUCC
rnacentral:tRNA from 1 species